rnacentral:rRNA from 1 species
GACGUAGGGUGCGAGCGUUGUCCGGAAUUAUUGGGCGUAAAGAGCUCGUAGGCGGUUUGUUGCGUCGGCUGUGAAAUCCCGAGGCUCAACCUCGGGUCUGCAGUCGAUACGAGCAAACUAGAGUGUUGCAGGGGAGACUGGAAUUCCUGGUGUAGCGGUGAAGUGCGCAGAUAUCAGGAGGAACACCGGUGGCGAAGGCGGGUCUCUGGGCAACAACUGACGCUGAGGAGCGAAAGCGUGGGGAGCGAACAGG